GACGAACGCUGGCGGCGCGCCUAACACAUGCAAGUCGAACGAGCGAGAGAGAGCUUGCUUUCUCGAGCGAGUGGCGAACGGGUGAGUAACGCGUGAGGAACCUGCCUCAAAGAGGGGGACAACAGUUGGAAACGACUGCUAAUACCGCAUAAGCCCACGGUGCCGCCUGGCACCGAGGGAAAAGGAGCAAUCCGCUUUGAGAUGGCCUCGCGUCCGAUUAGCUAGUUGGUGAGGUAAUGGCCCACCAAGGCGACGAUCGGUAGCCGGACUGAGAGGUUGAACGGCCACAUUGGGACUGAGACACGGCCCAGACUCCUACGGGAGGCAGCAGUGGGGAAUAUUGCACAAUGGGGGAAACCCUGAUGCAGCGACGCCGCGUGGAGGAAGAAGGUCGUCGGAUUGUAAACUCCUGUUGUUGGGGAAGAUAAUGACGGUACCCAACAAGGAAGUGACGGCUAACUACGUG
rnacentral:rRNA from 1 species